UGCCUCAGGCUCCUUCCCACAAAUUUCGCAUCAGCUUGAGCUCAGUGGGAGUAGAAUCUGCCACCGACAAACUCCUAAGAUGGCUUUGUUCAUUCCCACCUUCAUCAUAAAUCAGGUUGGGGUGGAGAAGCAAUAUCCCUAAGGGAAAAAUAAAAGUCUCCAAGCUAGGACUUUCAGCCUGGGGCCUGACAUUGCACAGAAAAUGGCCACUGCAGUCUCACAGGAACGCAGCCAGUCAAUGGUUUUCCUGAAACAAACUCUCAUCAUCUGAGAGAACCUGCAUGCACCUCUGCUCCCUGCACCCCAGAGGGAACCAGCAGUGUGCCCUGGGAAAAGCUGGGGCCCCACAGGUCCCAGUCUCUGAACAGGGUCUCGUAUAAAGAAGCACCGUCCAGCAACUAUUGCAGCAUUCACUGGCAUCUCGAAGACAGUAUCAACGAGUAUCUACAUCACAACCCGUAACCUCGCUCCUCAAGUUCCCUGUCCUCCCCUCCCAACCCCUGUACCCACAGCUGAUCGUGAGCCUCACACCCACCCACCUCCAGCAGUGCCAGAUUCACUCCUUACUUCCCCACUCUCUUCAUAUGGAGAGUGACAGCUUCCCUAGGUCGUAGAAGAAAACAACAUGGACCACUUGCCAGCGUCUCUUUGAACAGAGAAGCUACUGCUGUCUAAGAGCCACCAUCCCCAAUCCCAGGCACAGGGCUUGAGGGAAACUUAUUUUCUGCCCCCACCUUCCUUAAAGGUGGAACUCAUGACUGAGACCUGAGCCUAUCAGCCGGUCACGUGAUCCUGGCCCAGGGCUAUUGGCUGUGGGAAGUGGAUGCUGCCCGCCCUGUUGUCCUGUGGGAGCUUGAGGGGAUGUACAUCUGGCAUUGCUGGCAGGCAUUUUGUUCCCAUGAGGGAAGAGUCUGGGAGAGAAGCAACCUGGUGGAGAGUGGGCCUAAGACACGGAGAGAGGAUGUUGAUGCCGUGAGUUCCCAAUCCCGCCGCGCCCGUCAGACUUACCCUCAGC
rnacentral:lncRNA from 1 species